GAUGAACGCUGGCGGCGUGCUUAAUACAUGUAAGUCGAACGAAGAAUAACUAAGCUUGCUUAGCUAUUCUUAGUGGCGAACGGGUGAGUAAUACAUAAGCAACCUACCUUUAAGCGGGGGAUAACUACCGGAAACAGUAGCUAAUACCCCACUAGUAAGGAUUUAGGCAUCUAUUUCCUUUUAAAGUACGCGUUUGCGUCACUUAUUGAUGGGCUUAUGGUGUAUUAGCUAGUUGGUGGGGUAACUGCUCACCAAGGCGAUGAUACAUAGCCGGCCUGAGAGGGUGAACGGCCACAUUGGGACUGAGACACGGCCCAG
rnacentral:rRNA from 1 species